UGACUCUUCAGCGCGAACUGGACCCGGACGGUGUUCGUAGCAGACAGAUGUACCGAAGGGCCGAAUUACCUUAUACAUGUCGAUGGCUAUGACAAACUGAAACGAUUUGGUUUUGCCAUUCACCGUGCAAUAUGCGGGCACAGUUGAUUACAAGAUACUGGUGGGUAAUGAAGACAUCGAAGGAGUGAAAGAACUCUGUACUUUUGUUCAAGUUAAUUCUGAAGUAGUCACUGUAUUAUAACAGGAUAUGGGUGAGAAGAGGCUUAGAAAGCCAUCCACAUAUAGGGAAGCUCUGGAACUGCGGAGAACUAGUUCACUACUGGUACUAAAAUAAUCUACAGAUAGCCUACACAAUGGCAUAGUAGAGCAAAAUUUGAGUGUGCUUUUUUCUGUCUCACUAUCAGGUCUACGUACAGAAAGCGUAUAAAGGAUAAUAUUUACAGUAAUCAAAAUAUUUGAAGAGAAAUACUAAUAGGUUUUGAAGGCAAAAGUGAAUUUCAGUUCGAAAUUCUUAUAGUUAGCCUGAACUCAUAUGUAUACCAACAUUUCUUGUAUUUUACAUGCAACUACACUUCUUUAAGAAAAAUAUCGUAAUGUAUACAUUUGUAUAUCCAAUGUAACUUUGGUAAUUAAAGCAACAUGCAUUACCUUGCUGGGAAAAAUCUAGUUCCACUUGAUGUAUUUUGUUUACGAAAUAUAUUCCCGAAUUAACAGAUGUAUUGAUAAUUAUUGAUUUUUAUUUUUGGAAAUAUUUAUAAAACACUGAUAUCCCAUCCGUAUUUCACAUGCAAAAAAAAAAGUAAUAAAAAUUUUGCAAAGUAAUUAUAACCUACCUGGCAUCAUGCAAAUGAUUGAAAAAAUGUCAUUAUUACCACAAACAUAAAUGCUCAGAAACCAUAAAAUAUCAACUUUGAAAAUAUUUGGGUGAUAAAAUUCUUCGGGCAAUUUUAAGGAAAGUCCGAGUUAUUAUUGCGAUAAAAACCAGUUAAGCCUGGUGUCAUCAUAUCUAACAACUAGUAGGAUUGUUAAAGCAUUAUUCGUUUGUGGUAUGUCCAUUUAUAUAUUGAACAUUUCGUUCGCACUAUUUGUGCGAAAGGUGAGUUUAUUCUGUAAUGAGGUACCAUAUUCAAAGUAAAAUGGAGUGAGCUGUUAGAAUUUGAUGAAUUAAAUUCGGUUCUUUGCAGUUUUACAUUGAUGCGAAAAACAUGAACCAUGGUUGUGUACGACAAACAUUCAGCUUCAACAGCCGUUCUUAUUUCUUCACAAUUGGUUUAGUCAAUAAAAGGACAUGUUGCUCAUAGUAGCCUUCACUCAUAGUCUGCCCUUAA